AUUUUACAGCUUAAAACGUAUGCAAUACAGUUUCGCAACACCUAAUAGAAUUCUAUUCCUACUUAUGCCACAGGAAUGAGGAGGCAAAGCAGAGUUAGAAAUUAUUUUGUGAUAGAAGACACUCUGUGUAACCAUUGCCUGACCAGAGUGUCAGCGUCAAAGUGGAUGACCAAAGAAGGUGGAAGAUACUGGCCACUGUAGUAGGGUGUUUCCCCGAGCCAAUAUCUUAUGUGGUCCACACAUAAGGAGGGACUGUUACCCACUGCCAUAGAAUACACUUUCAGUCAUUCCCUGAGGAGUUAGGUGCUGAGAAUUUGAAACGGCAGCUGGUAGAAUCCCUGGUCUUAAGAGGUGUAACUCCCUUGCAACAUGAUUCCGGUAUGGAUACAUCGCUGCUUCCAGUGGAGUCACAACCACUCUCACAAGCAUGCUACCGAGAUUAGCACUGUAGUUAGACCAGUGAUUUGACAAAUGGGCAGAAUAAUCUCACAGUCACUUUGGACUAGGACAGUCUACCCC